AGCUGGUUGACUAAAAUGGUGGGUGACUGACGAUCUCGUGGCGAGGCGGGGAGGCUGUGUGUGUGUGGCUAGUUAAUGCAAGCUGAGGAGGUUUUUGAAUGCUAGACGCCAUUGUGUUGCACGUGCUGCUGCAAACUUUGCAGUGCAAAGCCAGGCCGGGGAGCCAUCUUAAGUUGAGGCUGCAUAGGCCUUGUGGUGCAUGUGAUUCAGAUUCUAUUCAGUUGAACCUCUGGUUACAAAGUUGUUUGGACAGUGUUCUCGAAGCAACCAGCAUGAGUUUGGCCAGACUGCAGGAGGACAGGAAGACUGGAGUGCCUGGAACAGGUGAGGCUGCAGGUCCCUUAUUUUGGCUGCUGAUCCCUUAAUUUCAAGGCUGCUGGUCCCUUAUUUUCAAAUCUGUAAAUUGACAGCUAUGUCCUGGACCCUCCUUUGUCUUUUUGGGCCCAAGAGACUUUAAGAGUGGAGAAUGCUUUUCAUUGACUUUGGCUGCUAUACCAGCUGCAACCUCAUCUGAACCAAGAGUCUGGCUGUGUAACAGCCUCUCAAGAUAAGUGCAAUGAGGUCUAUAUGUGGUUGUCCCUGGGGAGGAAAACAGAUGCCGCAAUCUGUGCAGGAUGCACGAGACAGAGUUGACUGGCACUGCUGAUUCAAAUGCCAUCUCACCGGUCUUAAAAGACCUCCACUGGAUGCCUGUUUCUUUUUCUGAUCCAAUUUGAAGUGUUGGUGCUUACCUUGAACGCAGGGUUGCCAUGUGCCUUACUUUACACAGACCUCUCUUUUGAAGUCCUCCGUUUGGAGGUGUUCUCUGUUUAAAGGGACCGCCCAGUCCAAAUCUGGUUUAAAGGUAAGGAACCCUACCAAGGGAGAAGCCUUGACGUUGCCCAUCAACAGCUAGGUCAGUGAGAAAGGAAGCAAAUCCCGAAUGCCAGUGAAGUUAACUCUUUAUUCAAGGAAACAGAAUACAACUCAGCCUAGUGGUCUCAGUAACCCUUCCCAGUAGGUCUCACUCAUAUGGAACAGUUGCCAGGAUGGAAGGUCCCUGCCUUCUGCCACCCUUAAGGCCCCCUCCAGGACCUUUCGCAAGCAGUCUCAAACUGUGUCUGCGCACCUCCGGCCUCCUCAUUAUCCUGUGUAGUCUUGGAGACUGGGAGGGGGGGAGCUUUUUGCAGCAGGAGGGGAAGACUCCCUGGAUUCUUCAGCAGUCUUUUGACACCCCCGCUCUUCUGCUUCAGCCUCAGAAUCUGAACUCUUCCCUGUCACAGGCUCUUCCUGCUCACUAAACUCUGCUGCCCCUUCAGCUUCCAACACCUCCUCCUUCCAAUCUCUCCCCUUUGACCAAUCCUCUGUCUCCCACCACCAGUCCCCUGGUUCUGAGCUUUCCUCCUCUGGGGUUUCCCUUGGGGUUUCCCUAGCUGGUGCCUCUCACUACUCCUCUUCAUCCUGCCAGUCCUUGACAGGUGAUGUGCAUUGGAGCUAUAUUUAAAUUAUAGUAACUAUUUUUAAAUUUGCGGCUAUGCAUAUAAAUUACUCUUUGCAAAUUUGUGUCAUAUUUUGGAGGGGAAUGCAAAGACUCUUUAUUGGCAAUGCAUAAGUGGCCACCCUACCUUAAAGCCCUAAAUGACACAGGACCCAAAUAUUUGAAAGCGAUCUCCUCCCCUUCCAGCCUUCUUGCUAAAAUCAUCAGCCAGUGUCCGUCUCCAAAUACCACCUUCAUCUGCAAGAGCGGGGGGGCUUUGUCAGGAAUGGUGUCCAAGCUAUGGAAUCCCACCCCCCACCCCCCGGGAGAUACACAUGUGGCAUGUCUCAAGCACCAGGCAAACUUUAAAAAAAAAAAAAUCAUGCUGGCAUUUAAAAACAUUUCUACUCCAUUGUAUUUUGAAACCUUCUGGCUAUUAAUGGCUCUUUUCACCUGCUCUUUUACCCAUGGGGCAGUAUUCAACAAACUCAUACCAUCAGCGUUAAGGACUUAUGACUGUACAAUGGAAAUUCCUCCCCAACAACCGUGCAGAGCAGAUUUUGGGGCCUGGGGUUCACACUUGUUGAGGGGGCGGGAUAAAGAAUUGCUUAUUAUAGGUGAGGGGAGGAGAUGAGGGAGAAAGUUCCAUUGCGCAAGUGGAAAUCUUAGCACUAACAGAACAAGAAUGUUGGAUGCCGCCCUGUAUCACUUUUGCAAGUGCACCUUUGACAUCCUUGAUAAAAGACUAUAACGGAGAUAAGAGGAUGAACAAAAUAUUCUGCUGAAGAGGGUGGGCUCGCAUUGCAGAGGAAUGGCAUGGUUGGGGGGGGGGAAGUGGGGGAAGAGAAAGAAAGAGAGGCAGGGAUGCACAGGAAAUCUGACAUUUUAAAAUGGUUUUUGCUGGUUAAGUCAUGCAAAGGAAGAGAACCCAAAACUUACUUUUGCUUGCACUGGAGAAGAAUGCAAAUAGAGCCAACCUGGUAUCAGCCAAACUCUUCACAGCCCACACGCUGCUGUGGCACAAAAGGAUUUUUUUUUUUCAUUUUUCAAAAAGAGCCAUCUGCAAAGCUUUCAUUUGUGGUUGUCUGCUUGCAUGGUUAAUAAGCAUCUGUUAGUAAAUGUUGGCUUGACUCCUUCCUUGAAUGUGCACAGGAAUUUUAUUAUUGUUUGAGACUCUCCCCCCCCCCCCAUCUCACCCAAAAUGAUACGGCACUAAAUUAUCCUGUGUUUAGCCUUAAUUGCUGGAUGUUACAGGGCAGUCUAAACAUUAUCUGUCAUGAUAUAGUUGGAAUCAAUGCAACAGAUGUCCAGAAAAAUGUGUAAUGUUUUAAGUCUACAUAUAGAUAUGUGUAUGUGUUGUUAAUCUACAUGUAUCUAUUUAAAGACAUAAGCUUUAGAGAUGGAAUAUAGCUCCAAACAACACAGAUGCAUAUGUCUGGGCACUACGAUGUCACUGUAUUUCUUCAAAGAAAGUUCUUCCCCUGCAAAGACAAAGUAAUAGCUGCUAUAUUCUUUGUCUUAAAUGAGUUGGGGAUAGGCACUUAUUUUCUUAACCCAUAGUCCAAGAGUGGAAAUUAAAAUUAAAAUAACCCACAGCCUUAAAAAAAAAAGUUGUUGUGGAAAUAUGCUUGGUUUUGCAAUUCAAGUUGCAAAACCAACGAGUAUUCAAAGAGUUGCCUUGCUAGUGGGAAGUAACCAAAUGAAAUCUAGAUUUUUGCUACAAUUUUUUUGGGGUACAGUAUGUCUCAAACAGUAAACUGCUUGCACUUCCUACUGGGAUAGUAUUUCAGUAGUAUUUUCUGUGACACUGAUGACUGAUGUUAUGGAACAGGAAACAAAGAGUAGAAAAAAAUGGACAAUUUUAUAUAAACAGUUUAGAGAUUUAUUUUAACUAUUAAGCCGUAUAUGAAGCUUGCAAAAUAAAUGUAUAUUCUCUCCCAAUGGAGGAAGUGGAAUCCCCCAAAGAUCAGUAAAGGUAAAGGGACCCCUGACCAUUAGGUCCAGUCGUGGCCGACUCUGGGGUUGUGGCGCUAAUCUCACUUUAUUGGCUGAGGGAGCCGGCGUACAGCUUCCGGGUCAUGUGGCCAGCAUGACUAAGCUGCUUCUGGCGAAACCAGAGCAGCACACAGAAACGCCAUUUACCUUCCCGCCAGAGUGGUACCUAUUUAUCUACUUGCACUUUGACGUGCUUUCGAACUGCUAGGUUGGCAGGAGCAGGGACCGAGCAACGGGAGCUCAUCCAGUCACGGGGAUUCGAACCGCUGACCUUCUGAUCGGCAAGUCCUAGGCUCUGUGGUUUAACCCACAGCGCCACCUGCGUCCCUCCAAAGAUCAGUACAGGGGCUUAAUAAAAUCCCCACUUGUUCAUAAAUGACUGUUGGGAUGAACAGUGUAGUAGCCACAUUGACUGAUGGCACCAAAUUGCUCAGGGUUGUUAAAAAUAAAAAGGGAUUGUGAGUAGGAUCUCUCCAAAUUGGGCAAACGGGCAUUAAAGUGGCAAAUGAGAUCCAGUGCAAACUAGUGCAAAAUGAUGCACAUUGCGCCAGAACAUCCUAACUUACAAAGCAAUAUUUAAGUGCCUUAAUGACCGGUUACCAAAAUUUUAGUUUGCAUAUGUUUUCAUUCAUAAUUUGCUUUCCAUAUUUUUGACCAUAUUUUGUUUUCCAUGCUUACUCAGAAGUAAGUUCUGCCAAGUUCAGUGGAACUUGCUCCCAAAUAAGUAUGCAUAAGAUUGCAUAUCUGCCAACAUUUUGGUGACCAAGGCAGGACUGCUGCUUUUAUGCACCAUUCUGCACUGAAAAGGGCUUUUCCCGAAAUUCCAUACAUUGCAUUCUGUAAUUACUGUACCUUCCUUGCACUGGCUGCUGAAACAGGAUGUGUUAACUGAGCAUAACCAUUUACUUUAGCUUAGGAAUGUUUAAUAUCAUAAUAGUUAUAUGACUGUACUUAUUACAGAAUAGCUGCACCUUAAACUUCUUAGCUGAUUCCAUUAUCUGGAUAAGCAAAUAUGGAAGGGGGAACAAGGCCUGGACAUUUUGUGCUCCAUGCAUAUGCCUUUAUAUUUGCAUGUGUACAAGAGCAAAGAUUAAUCUGCCACGACCUCAGACACAUGAAGAUUUAAUGUCUAUCGAUGGAGGGGAGCCUGAAUGGGAGAAAGGGAGAUAGCAUUAUCUGCUGUUCAAAGGAACAGCCUUGCACUGAAAUCUGAGCAAACAUCUGAGAGGAGAUUAAACAUGGGAUAGUUAAUCUACCUUGGUAACAUAUUAGCAAACACAAUGACUGUUAUUUUACUCAGCAAACCACUGUGUCAUACUGCUUCCGGAAAACAUAAAUUGCAUAGUAAAUUGGGGGAUCAGUACAAUGGUACUCAUAUGCAUAGCUUCCUGGGAGUAAGUUUCAUGGACCUCUCUGGUUCUUGCUGCUGACUGCAGAGGUUCAGCCUGUGAAACACAUUGAAAUUUAACAGAAGGUGUUCAGUCAGCUGAAACACAACGUUUAGCUUUGAAUUAGAAAUGCAAGCAAUCUUGCAAAGAAGCGUUGCCUCUUAAACGUUUAGUAUGAAGUAAGGGCCUCUGUCAAAAAGAAUAGGUGCAUGGUGCAAACUCAUUGGCUGUCAUGGACUGGCUGGACACAGAGGAGUGGUGGGAGGCACCAGCUGGGGAACCCCCAAGGGACAAAGGCUCAGAACCCGGGGAUUGGUGGUGGAAGGACGAAGAGUGGACAGGGGAGAAGGGGGAGCCUGGGAGGAGGAGAUGUUGGGAGCUGAAAAGAUAAGAUGGUUUAGUGAGCAGGGAGAGGCUGUGUCAGAGGAAAGUCCAGAAUCAGAAGCUGAAGCAAAAGAAGGAGGAGACCAAGAGGCAGAGAUGAGUCAGGCUGGUGAAAAGCCAGGGUGUCUCCCCCUCCUGCUGCAAGAAGCUUCUCUCCCCGCUGGUCUCCCAGGUCCAGAAGAACUAUGAAGAGGGAGAAGCAGAGAGAGGCGCGUCGGCAUAGUCUGAGAUUGCUUGGGAAGGACCUGGGGGAGGAGGAGCCUCUGCAACUGCCUCAUAGGGACAAGACCUACCAAGAAGAGUUGCUGUGCUCCUUACGCCUGUCUCCCCUGAGCAGGCCUUGUUUCUGCUAAUAAAGUAUUAACGCCACAUACUCCAUGUGAUUUAUUGCUGGGUGGCUGCCUGACAUUGGCAGAGCUUAUCCAAUGCUCCUGUUGGUGCACUUGCACUGGAUCAACCAUCUCACCCCUCACCCUCUCCUCAGAAAGCAGCAGCAUCCCACUUGCAGAAGAAGCUAAUGUUAACAGUUUUGCCCUACCCAGCAAGCUGCUUCUGCUUAUUAUUGUUUCCUGUUGACGCAAUAUGCCACAGCGGCUUAUCUAUGUAGCUCUAGGUUGAUAAAACAGCCUGCUUCCAAUUUAUCAUGCAUCUAAUGGAACCUUUGCUGAUAAAGCCACCUCUUGUCAAUGCAAGGAACUCAAAUCACCUCCUGUAUAAUAUAUGGGGCCUAUAUCUUGGGGUGACGUUGCUCUGAGAACAGUGGGGUGGGGUGGGGAAAGAAAUGAGUAAUAGCAGGUUAAUAUGACAGUUUUGGUCCUUUAGUGGUCAGGCGAAGGGAAGGGGGAAAGGAAGUAUUUGGCAGGUGGAACUGGCUGGGAGCAAAAGGGGAAUCUAGAAGAAUGAGAGGGAGGUGUUCAGUGAGCUUUGCUGUCAUGUAAGUGGGUGCACGAUUUGAAUCUUCGUUUACUCUAUGUUAAAUAAUAGGUCAUAAUGCAGCCACCAUUUAAGUAUCAUGAUGCUUUUGAAUUAUGGUGCUGGAGGAGACCCUUGAGAGUCCCAUGGACUGCAAGAAGAACAAACCUAUCCAUUCUUAAGGAAAUCAGCCCAGAGUGCUCACUGGAAGGACAGAUCCUGAAGCUGAGGCUCCAAUACUUUGACCACCUCAUGAGAAGAGAAGACUCCCUGGAAAAGACCCUUGUGUUGGGAAAGAUGGAGGGCACAAGGAGAAGGGGACGACAGAGGACGAGAUGGUUAGACAGCAUUCUCGAAGCUGCAAACAUGAGUUUGACCAAACUGCGGGAGGCAGUGGAAGACAGGAGUGCCUGGCGUGCUCUGGUCCAUGGGGUCACGAAGAGUCGGACACGACUAAACGACUAAACAACUAAACAACAACAAUGCAGCCACCAUUUAAGCACUUUGAAAAUCCACAGUCUUCAGUGAUAAAAGCUGUUGUGUACUUAAUUCCAC